rnacentral:lncRNA from 1 species
UUAUAUCUUUUUUUCCCUCUAGGUAUUUUUCCAUGUGUUUAUCCUGUCUCCAUUAAUUUGUAAUCUUCCAGAGGGCAAGGCCUGAACACAAGCUUCUGUUUGGUGUAAAGUGGAGGCACAGGCUGCAGGACUGUCUCAGAAGGGAAAUAAUAUUUACCUUCCAAACGGAGAUCUAAAACCCGAACAAAGCCUCAGGAAACAUACUCCACCACCAUCUUACAAGUUUGUGCUACGGGUGGAGGGAAAAUGAAUCUAAUGUAGGAGGCCUCCCGCUGUGCGUCUAGCAGGAAAGACCAUACGGUGCAAGUCUCCAGGAUCACUAGAGGGGUGGAUUGUUCAUUUCAGUCCAGGUAGCAACAGGAAGCCCGUGCAAAUGUUCCUCUCUCACUGCGGGGCUAAGGAGCGUGGGUCCUUUCCCGCGACUACCUGCUUGCCUCUCUCAGAACCUGCAAGUGAAGUGCGGAAGAUCUGUCUAUCUUCUCGGCG